rnacentral:rRNA from 1 species
CCUACGGGUGGCUGCAGUGGGGAAUUUUGGACAAUGGGCGCAAGCCUGAUCCAGCAAUGCCGCGUGCAGGAUGAAGGCCUUCGGGUUGUAAACUGCUUUUGUACGGAACGAAACGGUGAGCUUUAAUACAGUUUGCUAAUGACGGUACCGUAAGAAUAAGCACCGGCUAACUACGUGCCAGCAGCCGCGGUAAUACGUAGGGUGCGAGCGUUAAUCGGAAUUGCUGGGGCGGUUGCGUAAGCAGGAGGUGAAAUCCCCGGGCUCAACCUGGGACCUGCAUUUGUGACUGUAUAGCUAGAGUACGGUAGAGGGGGAUGGAAUUCCGCGUGUAGCAGUGAAAUGCGUAGAUAUGCGGAGGAACACCGAUGGCGAAGGCAAUCCCCUGGACCUGUACUGACGCUCAUGCACGAAAGCGUGGGGAGCAAACAGGAUUAGAUACCCGUGUAGUC